CUGGCUCAGGAUGAACGCUGGCGGCGUGCUUAACACAUGCAAGUCGAACGAAGCAACUUAUCACGAUCCUUCGGGGUGACGAUUGUUGACUGAGUGGCGGACGGGUGAGUAACGCGUGGGUAACCUACCUUGUACAGGGGGACAACAGUUGGAAACGACUGCUAAUACCGCAUAAGCGCACGGUACCGCAUGGUACAGUGUGAAAAGUUAUUUCGGUACAAGAUGGACCCGCGUCUGAUUAGCUAGUUGGUGAGGUAACGGCCCACCAAGGCGACGAUCAGUAGCCGACCUGAGAGGGUGACCGGCCACAUUGGGACUGAGACACGGCCCAAACUCCUACGGGAGGCAGCAGUGGGGAAUAUUGCACAAUGGGCGCAAGCCUGAUGCAGCGAACCGCCGCGUGAGCGAAGAAGUAUUUCGGUAUGUAAAGCUCUAUCAGCAGGGAAGAUAAUGACGGUACCUGACUAAGAAGCACCGGCUAAAUACGUGCCAGCAGCUGC
rnacentral:rRNA from 1 species